rnacentral:rRNA from 3 species
UUUACCGGAGUACUAUGAAUAUUAAAAAUUUAAAACUCAAAGAACUUGGCGGUGUUUUAGACCACUCAGGGGAACCUGUCUCAUAAUCGAUAAUCCACGUUGUACCUGACCUUUUUUUGUAUUCAGUUUGUAUACCGUUGUCGUCAGGUAACUUUUUAGAAAUUAGAAGUUAGCAGCAGAAAUAAAAAUAAUUUAAUACGUCAAAUCAAGGUGCAGCUAAUGAAAAGGGGAGGAUGGGUUACAAUUAUAUAAUUUAUAAUAACGGAUAAGUAUAUGGAGUAUAUAUUAACUAUAAGGCGGACUUGAAAGUAAAUUAGGUUAUAUAAAUAAUUUGAAUGAGGCUCUGAAACGUGU